GCUGGCGGCAUGCCUAACACAUGCAAGUCGAACGGUAACGCGGAGUAGCUUGCUCUCUGGCGACGAGUGGCGGACGGGUGAGUAACACUUAGGAAUCUGCCCAGUAGUGGGGGACAACAUUCGGAAACGGAUGCUAAUACCGCAUACGCACUACGGUGGAAAGUGGGGGAUCUUCGGACCUCACGCUAUUGGAUGAGCCUAAGUCGGAUUAGCUUGUUGGUAGGGUAACGGCCUACCAAGGCGACGAUCCGUAGCUGGUCUGAGAGGACGAUCAGCCACACUGGGACUGAGACACGGCCCAGACUCCUACGGGAGGCAGCAGUGGGGAAUAUUGGACAAUGGGCGCAAGCCUGAUCCAGCAAUGCCGCGUGUGUGAAGAAGGCCUGCGGGUUGUAAAGCACUUUCAGUAGAGAAGAAAAGCCUAGGGUUAAUACCCCUGAGUCUUGACGUAACCUACAGAAGAAGCACCGGCUAACUCCGUGCCAGCAGCCGCGGUAAUACGGAGGGUGCGAGCGUUAAUCGGAAUUACUGGGCGUAAAGCGCGCGUA
rnacentral:rRNA from 1 species